rnacentral:rRNA from 1 species
UACGAAGGGUGCAAGCGUUACUCGGAAUUACUGGGCGUAAAGCGUGCGUAGGUGGUGAGUUAAGUCUGAUGUGAAAUCCCCGGGCUCAACCUGGGAAUGGCAUUGGAUACUGGCUCGCUAGAGUGCGGUAGAGGGUGGUGGAAUUCCCGGUGUAGCAGUGAAAUGCGUAGAGAUCGGGAGGAACAUCUGUGGCGAAGGCGACCACCUGGACCUACACUGACACUGAGGCACGAAAGCGUGGGGAGCAAACAGG